rnacentral:rRNA from 1 species
AGUGAACGCUGGCGGUAGGCCUAACACAUGCAAGUCGAACGGCAGCACAGUAAGAGCUUGCUCUUACGGGUGGCGAGUGGCGGACGGGUGAGGAAUACAUCGGAAUCUACUUUUUCGUGGGGGAUAACGUAGGGAAACUUACGCUAAUACCGCAUACGACCUACGGGUGAAAGCAGGGGAUCUUCGGACCUUGCGCGAUUGAAUGAGCCGAUGUCGGAUUAGCUAGUUGGCGGGGUAAAGGCCCACCAAGGCGACGAUCCGUAGCUGGUCUGAGAGGAUGAUCAGCCACACUGGAACUGCGACACGGUCCAGACUCCUACGGGAGGCAGCAGUGGGGAAUAUUGGACAAUGGGCGCAAGCCUGAUCCAGCCAUACCGCGUGGGUGAAGAAGGCCUUCGGGUUGUAAAGCCCUUUUGUUGGGAAGGAAAAGCAGCAGGUUAAUACCCCGCUGUUCUGACGGUACCCAAAGAAUAAGCACCGGCUAACUUCGUG